GCUACUUUAGUGCUUCUGUUUUAACUCAAUUCCAACAAUAUGACACAGCUACAAAACUUCCUCCAGGGAUUUAAUUAAAUGUUGGAGUGUUCUAUGGCAUUAAAGGAAAAGGAGAGAGAGGCCAUGUGCAUCGGUCUUGUGAGAUCAGGAAGAAAACAGAGGCAAGGCUAAGUAAUUUUCCCAAUAUCAAGUACAUGGAAGAAAUGUUAUUUCAAAC
rnacentral:lncRNA from 1 species